UACGUAGGGUGCGAGCGUUAAUCGGAAUUACUGGGCGUAAAGCGUGCGCAGGCGGUUAUAUAAGACAGAUGUGAAAUCCCCGGGCUCAACCUGGGAACUGCAUUUGUGACUGUAUGGCUAGAGUACGGCAGAAGGGGAUGGAAUUCCGCGUGUAGCAGUGAAAUGCGUAGAUAUGCGGAGGAACACCGAUGGCGAAGGCAAUCCCCUGGGCCUGCACUGACGCUCAUGCACGAAAGCGUGGGGAGCAAACAGGAUUAGAUACCCUGGUAGUCCACGCCCUAAACGAUGUCAACUGGUUGUUGGGUUUUAAUUAACUCAGUAACGAAGCUAACGCGUGAAGUUGACCGCCUGGGGAGUACGGCCGCAAGGUUGAA
rnacentral:rRNA from 1 species